GCACCGUGAGAGGGCUCUUCGAUUAAUGGUGUGCUUCAUGCGUUUUGAUCUCAUUUUCUUCUAUGUUUCGUUUUCGAAUAUGAAUUUGUUCGAGGCUCACCAAUGAUUUUUUCUGCCUUCAACCGAUAGAUCCACUGCUACCCAUAAUCGUUUUUACUGUUGGUACCAUAGUAAUUAGGGUAUUUUUUAAGCUUCCUCCACUAAAAAACCAUACAUAUCUGGCCGAGAUAUGAUGUGUCUCGACUCUUUCA